UCCCGCUCUCCCUCUCCUCCGCCGCGCCCUCCCCCUCGCCCCCCUCCUCCGCCGCGCCCUCACCUCCCCCUCCCCUCUAGCCCCCUCCCGCCUCUCCUCCUCCUCCGAUCCACCAUCCUCUCCUCCCCCUCCCCCUCCGCCUCCCUCUCCCAGCCGGCAAGCAACGUCGGCCGCAACGGGCGGCCUCCCCACCGGUAGCGACCUCAGCACGGAGAGGGAUGGGUGUGGCGACCUUGGCACGGAGAGGGACCCGGCGGCUGGUGGAGACCUCGUGCACUCUCCAGCAGCCGGCGGCGACCUCGUGCGGAGAGGAACCUCGGCGGCGACAACCUCGCGUGGAGAUGGACCCCGGCGAUGACCUUGGUGGAUUGACGAGUGAGUUUGUGCAUCUUGCUUGUGUUCUUCAUCUGUGAUGGUUGGGAACUAUUGGUGAUGGAUUUGUGAAUUGUGAUGGAGAUUAUGUUUUGUGAAUUGAUUUGUGAAUUGUAAUGGAGAUUAUUGUUGUUCAUAUAUGUGAUUGGUGAUGGAUUGGAUUUGGGACUGCUUGAAUUGGGAUUAUUGUUGUUCAUCUGCUUGAUUCGUGAUUUGUGAAAGCAUGCUUGAAUAGGGAUUAUUGAUGUGCAUCGGCUCGGCUUGGAGCCGACUUCCUUUUUUUUUUGAAUUCGGUAGAGCACAAAGGUGUCGGUUCUAUGACCGGCACCAAUAACCUAGUGUCAUUGGUGCCGGCUGGCAAACCGGCACCAAUUGCCGGUUGGGAACCGACACCAAUAGGGGUUUUUUACUUGUGGUUGCUUGUUUAUGCCUAUUCACUUGUCUGGGGAUGAUACGGAGUGGGAAUGUUGUGCUGAGCCCUAAGUUCUUGCAAAAAGUUUCGGAAGGUCUUAUCGAUGAAAUGAGACCCUCCGUCACUUAUCACCAUCCGCGGAGUUCCAAAACAAGGGAAGAUAAUCUCAUGGAACAUCCGGCAGGCGUGCUUGGCCUCUGUGGCCCUGCAUGGCAUUCCUUCUACCCACUUCGACACAUAGUCAACGGCCAUCAGGAUAUACUCGCAGUCAUAGGACUUUGGGAAAGGUCCAAUGAAGUCGAUGCCCCAUACAUCAAAUAGCUUGACUUGCAGGUUGUAUGUCAGUGGCAUCGUAUCCCAAGCAGUGAUCCCUCCAUGCUUCUGGUACCUUGUGCAUCUUCGAACGAAUUCCUUUGUGUCAUCACACAUUGUUGGCCAAAAGAAUCCAUUCUGCCAGAUCUUUGCGUGUGUCCUGAAUGCUCCAUAGUGACCUCCAUAUGGGGUAGCAUGACACACUUCUCAAUGAUCUUCAUGCCUUCAUCUACUGGAACGCAUCUCCGUAGUAGACCGUCUGAACAGACUUUGUAAAGGUAAGGUGCAUCCCACAAGUGCCUGCGGCUCUUGUAGAUCAACCUCUUCUUAUUCUCUCCCGGUGGCACAUGCCCCGCGACCAUGGAGUUGAUGAUGAUUGCAUACCACGGGUCAGAAUCUGUGACUUUCAACAGCAUGUCAUCUCACAGAUAGUCAUUUAUCGGUAGCUCCUGCAUGUUAGUGAUUUGCAUACGCGACAAAUGAUCUGCAACAAAAUUCUCUACCCCUUUUCAUCCUUAAUUUGUAUGUCAAAUUCUUGGAGUAGAAGAAUCCACCUAAUUAGCCGAGGUUUUGCAUCUUUUUAGUGAGUAGGUAUUUUAGUGCAACAUGGUUAGUACAAACUAUUACCUUAGCUCCCACUAAAUAUGACCUAAAUUUAUCAAUGGCAAACACUAUGGCUAGGAGCUCUUUUUCCGUUGUGGCAUAAUUAAGCUGAGCUCUAGUAAAAAUUUUACUAGCAUAUGUGAUAGCAAGGUGCUUUUUAUCCUUAGUUUGCCCAAGAACAGCGCUGACAGCAAAAUCACUAGCAUCACACAUGAUUUCAAUCGGCAGCAACCAAUCAGGGGGUUGGAUGAUUGGUGCUGAGAUGAGUGAUUUUAAAGGAUUUUAGACACUCAUCAUCAAAGUCAAACGGGGCAUCCUUAGCUAGCAAGGUAGUUAGGGGUCUAGUGAUUUUAGAGAAAUCUUUUAUGAAACGCCUAUAGAACCCCGCAAGACUCAAGAAGCUAUGGACUCCCUUGACAUUGGCAGGAGGUGGUAACUAUCGAAUUACUACGAUUUUUGCUCUGUCCACCUGAACUCCCCUUACGGAGAUUUGAUAUCCUAGUACUAUUCCUUCACGAACCAUGAAGUGUCACUUUUUCCAAUUAAGUACCAAGUCGUUUUCCUGACAUCUUUGCAAGACCCUAUCUAAGUUCUCCAGACAAUGAUCGAAAGUUUUAUCAUAGUAAAAUCGUCGAUCAUGUCAAAGAAAAUAGACAACAUGCAUCUUUGAAAUGACGCUGGUGCACUACACAACCCAAACGACAUUCUUCGGUAUGCAUACAUUCUGUAUGGGCACGUGAACGUGAUCUUACUUUGAUCAUCGGGAUGGAUGGGGAUUUGGUGAUAACCAGAAUACCCAUCAAGGAAACAAAAGAAGGAAUGGUUCGCUAGCCGCUCAAGCAUUACAUCAAUUAAAGGCAGCGGGAAGUGAUCUUUCUUAGUAGCCUUGUUGAGUUUCCUAUAGUCAAUACACAUCCUCCAUCACGUGACGGUUUGUUGUGGGCAACUCGUUGUUCGAGUUUUCAAGACCAUCAUGCCUCCCUUCUUAGGCACUACUUGGACAGGGCUAACUGUUGGUAUUUCUUACGAUCACAAAUAGAAUCCGCAAGCGCACGGAUAUACUGAUGUAGUACUUCCCCUACGGAGUAUUCCAAGGGUACCGAAUCGAAGGGAACAUGUGUGAUUAAUUUUUCCUCUGGUUCAUCCAAGGACACCAAGCAAAUGAUAGGCUAAGAUAGAGAGGAUUUACUGGUGAGAAAUAGUGUCUAGGGAAAUCUUAACUUUAAUCCUAGCACGAUACUUCAGGCAUUGGCAACCCGCUAUUCCUAGAUGUCGCUCUACUACGUACCCGGACAGGGACGACAUAAGUGCUCUUGAGGGCUGUCACCACCUCUACACCUACCUCAAAUGUACUGUGGGAUACACAGCAAUUACUGGAUAAAAUUACCUAAACACCACGUCUAAGCAAUUAAUAUAUACUUUAGUGUUUAUAACUCACCAAAGCAAUCACUAUAUUUUAGUUGAUUAUAGUGAACAAUAAUCCCGUGUGAUAAUUAGGAACUAACCAAGAGAUAAUUCUCACAAAAUAAGUCUAAAUUACUCAGGAAGAUAAUUCUAUUGAUAUUAGAGUAAUGAACAGAAGAAAAGAAACAAGAGAAGAUUAUCGACAGCUCCGGAAUUCUUCCGACUUCUUCUACUCUACUCUCUUCGUAAUUCUAGUAUACAAAUAGUACAAUAGAGCCUUUUAUAAUUCAGCUCAAGCUUGUAAGCGUGUGAAGAAGUGAAGGAGUGAAGCUCUUAAAUAGGCAGGUAUGACGGUUGUAACUACUGCGAAAUAUCUGAAGUACCCCACAACUGCUAUCAGGAGAAGAUCUGGAGUGUUCCAGCACAACAAGGGAUUGGCUUUUCAAUGAUGACAAAAAUCAUCACUAUAACUAUAUUUUUAUCAAAGUUGCUACCUUGUGACGAACUUAUGAUUCGUUGCUAUGUCAUCACUGAAAUUGGCGUCACAAAUAACAUAGUGAUGAUUUUUUUUCACCACAAAUACUAAUUGUAUUUGUGACCAAAAGUCUUGUAACUAAUGAUCAUAACAAUAGUGAUAGUUAAAUACGAGAUGUACUAGUGACCGCAACGACAUCACAGGUGUACUCACUCCUUCCAAAACUCUAAAACCUAUUUCAUUCUUUGGUUUUUCCAAAAGUCUAAGUCCUAUUUGUAGUCAUUAUGUGCUAAAUUAAAUUGUUGAUAGGAACCCAAGAAGCCAUUUUAAUGCUUAUUGGUUUGGUCACAUGGUGAAAGAAUUAAUUGCUUUUUGGUCUUGGUGCAAAAAGAAAUAGGACUCACAUUUUUGGAAGGAGGGAGUACAAGAUUGUGAUGGAUUAUUUCCUCACGUUUUGUUAGUAAUUAGUGAGAAUCAUGGUCACAGUUGUAUGAUUCAAUAAUGAUAAAUUUUCAUCACAUAUUAUUGAUAUACUGAAAACAAUUUCUCACAAGUUAAUUUGUUAUAGUGACGAGAUUAUAUAACGCUAUGAGGAAAUUUUAACUUCAACAAUACAUCUAUUGUGAGGAAACUGCAUUUUAUUGUGGCAAUCUUUUCACCAGAUAAUAUUAGCAUAUUGCAUUAGUUUUUUGGCAAAAUUUGCUACAGGACACUUGAAAAACGUGUAAUUAGCUGAGAGACACCGCAAAAACGAGACACGGCUGAUGAACACUACAAAAAUUGUGUAAUUGGCUAUAGGACACCGAAGACAAUAUUUUAUAAUAUCCGGGUCAAAAGUGGUAAGAAAUUUUUCGAAAUGGCAAGAUUGCCCCUGGCUCCAAUCCCAUCUUCCUCCACCUGAAAUCACACCAAAAGAAAAAUAGCAGGGAGAAGCCGCCGGCGAGGUUGUCCACGGCAGGGAGCGGAUAGGAGCGACCGCACGCCAGGAGCGGCCGACGGCGCGGCUGUGCGUGGAGCGCGAGCUGGAGGCGGCUGUGCGCGAGGCCGGCGACGGCAGCGCGGAGCGUGAGCAGGAGGUGGCCGUGAGCGAGGAGGCUGUUGAACGUUGGCCGAUACGAGGCUUGCUGCGGCCGCCGGUCUCGCCGUUACACCUACACAUCCAUUAUCUUGGGUCUCGCAAUGCACGGCCAAGGCGAGGACGCCCUGUCUCUAUUCGCCGGCAGGCAAUGAGCCGGCGUGACGCCGAACAAGGUGACCCUCCUCGGUGUGCUGUCGCGCCGGACUCGUCGAGGAGGGGCUCCAGCAACUCAACGCCAAGCCAGAACCACGCAUCGAGCAUUACGGCUGCGUCGUCGACAUGCUCAGCCGCGCCGGGAGACUAGACGAGGCAGAGGAGCUCGUCGCGGCAAUGCCAAUACACCCUGACGCGCUCAUCUGGGGCUCGCUGCUCGCCGCAUGCCGCGCGCAUGGCAAAGUUGAGCGCGCCGAGCGGGUGAUGCGGCGGCGCACCACCGACGCCGAUGCGGACGCCGGCGACUACGUGCUGAUGUCGAACACUUACGCGUCGAAUGGCCGGCACGGCGAGGCGGUGAAGGUGAGGAGGCAGAUGAGGAGGAACGAGAUCGACAAGGUCCCCGGCUGCAGCCUCAUCGAGAUCGACGGCGUCGUCAACGAAUUCGAAGCAAUCCCAGCAAAUUCCAUCCGAUAAAAACACAACAAGAUUCAUCAAAGAACAGGUUAUCCGAGUGGUCGUGGUUUUCGGUGCCGGAGAUGGCGCCCUCGUCGGCGGGGACGAAGACGCCGGUCUCAUGGUCGGGCACCCACGCGUCCUCCGGGCCCGCCCUCCACCGUCUCCUCCUCCGGGAGCGCCUCCACGUUCUUGCGGUUCAGUGCCGCCUCCACCAAGGUUCUGGGAUUCAAUUGCAGAAAAAUUUCGGGCCUUACCGAAAUGGGCGAAAUUCGGAAAUUUCGGAAUUUUCGGACAAAAUUUGGCCGAAUUUGUUGCAAAAUUUGAACCAUCAUUAGAAAAUUUGAGGCAAUUUGUUAACAACCAAUAGAUAAAACAGAAAAAAAUGAAUAGGCAAUCAUACGAGGAUCAACACACAAGGAGAAUUACAAUAUUGGCACAUCCAACUAUCCAAGCAUCAGCGAAGAACAAAUGCAUUGCACCGUUGAGCAUGGCAUAACCAAUGUUAAUGGGUGCAUCUGGGGACUAGGCAGUUGUGUUGCCCCUAUCCAUGAUCCGGCUGCCGGCUUUGUUACCUUUUAGCACCGGCGCCAUUGUUCCGCACACGGCCACCGUCCACUGCAGAUUUGAUUGCACGAGACCAUCAGCAAGGGAAAGGGAAUGCGAAUUGGGGACUAAGGGAGAAGAUGGAGGGAGAAGAUCGUGUUGGGAAAGCAGAGGACGACGGGGUCAUGCUGCUCCCAUGCCGCCGGCGCCGGCUGCUUGCACGUCGCAGCUCAGUCUACCAGCCGCCACAAAGGGGGAGGAAGGAGAAAAAUGAAUGGAUUAGGGUUUCCGGAGGGGAAUUUGCACUUUUAUACCCUGGAAAGAUACCUGCGGGCCUGUUUGCUUCUUGGGCUGGGCUGAAAACAUUGUAUAGUUCUAGAAUCGUGUUUACAAAAUAGCUUUGAGCAACUAAAUAUCUUUAAAUGCUAUUUACUGCAACCCUAACCCUUUAUAGUAUAACUCCUUUGUACUCCCUUGCAUUUACUCUGCACUUGUGGGUGUGUCUUGUUGAGUACGGUGGUUGUACUCAGUCUUGCUCAAUUUUUCCCAAACCCCAGAAGAGGAGUUCCUAGAGGAUGAAGGCUUUGGUGUCUAGCUCGUGCCUGCCGUCAAGCGCCUGUGGUCGUCGCCCUAGUCUUCCGCUGCUUCUCGUUUGUCUUUGUGUGUGCUGGGCCUUCGUCGCCUAUGUAAUAAAUUAACUAUUUACGCUUCCGCUUGUUAAACUCUGAAUUGUAUCAACUUUUGGUGUACCUUGCCUCCUGGGACAAGGAUUAAUGCACGCACGUCAGGAACGCCCGUUGGGUUAUUUCCGGUCGUGACAGGUUUAAAAUCAAGCACCGACUCUUCUAAUACCAGAAAUAAUCCCUUCUUCACAUUAUAGCAAGAUGCUUGUUGUGACAAAUCAUUUGCUCUAGAAUUAUCAUGCCUAGCAAUAUAUCUAAUAGCAAAAUUAUCAAAAUUGGCAAUAAUAUCCAAGCAUGAGUCAAGAUACCUAUUUAGUGAUCCGUCCUAGCAUUUGUAGACUCUGGCAACUUGUUGCACCACCAAUUCUGAAUCACCAAAAACUUCCACGUGCUUAUCUCCAACCAACUCCAUCACUUGUAAGCCGAAUAAUAAAGCAUCGUAUUCGGGUUGAUUAUUUGUACAAUAAUACUUCAAACGGACCGAUGCCUCAUAACACAUGCCAUUAGGUGAAAACAAAACUACCCCUAUGCCUUAACCAUCUUUGCAAGAAGAACCAUCAAAAUAAAUCUUUCAAGGUAUAACUUCAACUAAGCAAACCUCCUCCUCAUAAGCAAUAUCCACAUGAUGGUCUACUAAAAAAUCACAUACAAUUUGGCCUCUCAUAGAUUUUAAUGGUUCAUAAGCCAAAUCAUAUUCAAUCAAAGCAUAUGCCCACUUGCCAAUUCUCCCACUUAGAAUUGGCCUUUGUAACAUGUGUUUAAUAACAUCGGCUUGACAAGCAACUAUGCAUGCACUAGAUAACAAAUAAUGCCUCAAUUUGGUACAAGCAUAGUAUAAGCAUAAAUAAAAUCUCUUUAUAAAGACAUACCUUGUUUCGGCAUCCAAAAGACGGCGGCUCAAAUAUGUAAUGAUAUAUUCCUUGCCAUCUUCCUCUUGCGUCAAAACGGCACCAAUGACUUUGUCUUUGGAGGCAAUACAUAACCGAAAAGGCUUUACGGUUUUAGGCGCCCGCACAACGGGUGAAGUAGACAAAUACUUCUUCAACCCUUUAAAUGCCUCUUGUUGUUUUGCCCCCCAAGUAAAAUCGGCUUAUUUUUUCAAGCGAAGUAUAGGGACAAAAGCAUCGAUUUUACCCGCUAGGUUAGAAAUAAAUCUUCUCAAAUAAUUCGCCUUACCUAGCAACUUUUGAACUUCCUUCUUGCGUGUCAGUGCUUUGAAAUCACGAAUCUUCUCUAUCUUCUUAGGAUCAAUCUCGACUCAUCUCUCAUGCACCAUGAAUCCUAAGAACCUCACCGCCGACACACCAAAAGCACAUUUAAGUGGGUUCAUCUUCAAACCAGACCGGCGCAUCCUUUCAAAAGCUAACCUCAAAUCGGCUAUAUGUCCCUCCAUACCAUUCGAUUUGACAACAAUAUCAUCAAUAUAGAUUUCUAAGAUAAUACCUAACAAAUCAUGGAAGAUCAAAUUCAUUGCCCUUUGAUAUGUUGCACCGACGUUCUUCGAUCCAAAAGUCAUGACAACCCACUCAAGCAAACCAACAAAUCCUGGGCACCUAAAAGCCGUCUUGUACAUAUCCUCCUCCGCCAUAAAGAUUUGAUUGUAGCCGGCAUUACCAUCCAAAAAGCUAAUCACCUUAUGACCCGAGACACCAUUGAUCAUCAUGUCGGCUAUAGGCAUAGGAUAUUCAUCUUUGGGAGUAGCUUUAUUUAAAUCUCUAAAGUCUUUGCAAACUCUAAUCUUACAACUCCCCUUUUUCUCCACCGGGACUAUGCUAGAAACCCAUUCCGCAUAACAACGUGGCCUAAUAAACCCAUCCUUCAACAACCGAUCAAUCUCCUCUUUGACUCGGUCAUAUAGCAAAGGAUUAAAACGACGAGGUGGUUGUUUAUAAGGCCUAAAACCUGGUUUGAUUGGAAGCCGAUGCUCAACAAGCUCACGGCUAAGACCCGGGAUCUCAUGAUACUCCCAUGCAAAGCAAUCCACAUACUCCUUAAGUAGCUCGAUUAUUUUAACCUUAUAAUCGGCUCUCAAAUUUUUAUUUAUAAAUGUCGGCCUUGGCUUAAUUCCAUCACCUAUGUCUACUUCCUCCAAUGGAUUGGCCGAUGUAAACCCUUUACCAAGCUUCUCCACUUCAUCAAAAUCUUCAAUAGUUUCACCAAUAUCGUUCUUUGUAGACCGAUAUUCUUGCACCCUCUUUUGCAACAACUCUAAAUUAGCUUCUUUACUCAUUAUACAAAUUGAUAUGGCCUAGCCGUGCUAUACAAGCCGGCUUUACAGAGAUGCAAGAAUAGCUAGAGAGAUCCAUCCCCGACAAGCAUUGAAUAUUCCCAUGACGCCACUCAAAAGUAGCAUCGGUCAUUGCAACCUCGGCCGAUGUAUCCGCUUGAACAAUCUCAACAUCAUUGUCGUCUCAUUGAAUUAAACAUUGAUGCAAGGUAGAAGGAACACAACAAUUGGCAUGGAUCCAACAACGACCCAAAAUAACAUUGUAGUUACCUUUCACAUCAACAAUGAAGAAAGCGGUUGGUAGCGUCUUGUUUCCCACGGUAAACUCCGCCGAAAAGAUACCCUUCGCCUCCGUUGGUUCACCAUUGAAGCCAUUGAGAAUCAUGUUAGUCUUCUUCAACUCAUCAUCUUCACGCCCCAACUUUUUGAACAACGAGUACGGCAUCAAAUUCACGGCGGCACCUCCAUCCACUAGCAUCCUAGAGACCUGCUUCCCAUCAACAUGACCUUUGAGAUAGAGAGGCUUCAUGUGACGGUUUGAUUUAUCGGGCUUCUCAAAAACCGCAUCUUUAGGACUUAGUCAAAAUUGAGCAACUUCGGCUUCAUCCAUAGCACAAAACUCCAUAGGCAACAUACACACCAUGUUGACAUCCAUGUCUUCCUUUGGAGUUGAUUCAUCUUUAGGAACCGAUUGUUCCUCCUUUUCCUCUACAACAACUGGUUAUUCUUUCUCUACGGAUUUACACCUCCAUACCGGUGGUGGUCACAACUCAUUGAACCUCCUAUCUCUUUGUUCUUCGGCCUUUUUCUCUCUUAUCUCUUGGGCCCGAAGACGUUGCAAUCUUCUCCUUUGAGUAGCCAUCAAAUCCUUAGGCAUCCACCUAGGUUUCGGCUCUGUUCUAGGAGGUAAAUAGUGCCCCCUGUUGAGUCUAUUUGAAGACGAUGAAGCCCUCACACUACUGCUUGCAAACCUCCUGUCAAACCGGCGCUGGAUCCCGGUCAGACUGGACUUAGACCACCGGUCAGAUCGGCCAAAGGCACCGGUCAGACCGGCCAGAUGCGCCGGUCCGACCGAUAUUAGGUCGGCGGUCAGACCGGCCUGAGGCGCCAGUCAGACCGUCGUUGGGUCGGCGGUCAGACCGGCCGUAUGUCUACGGCCAGACCGGCUAGAGGGCCUGGUCAGACCGGCCGACUAUGAUAAGCUGGUCUCGGCUUCGGAUUUGUUGCUUGAGGACUCCCCAACUUCAUCUCCAGAAGGUAUUGGCACAUCAUGAGACCCCACUUUGAUGGUAAUCACCUUAACACGCUUUCCUUCCCUCUUUUCUUCCUUAACCCGAUUUUUACCAUAAAACCGGCCAUUGUUUGGUGAAGACAAACGCUCAUGAAUUGGCCUCCUUGGUCCUCCCCACCCUUGGUUGAAUUGCAUUGGAGGCAUAUGAUUGAACAUUGGCGGUGUUGUCCCCCAUGGCAUGUAGUAAGGAUAAGGAUAACCCGGCGGCGGCAUUGGGUAAGGCCCCCAUGACAUGUCAAGUGAAUGAUGAUAUGGAGGUGAUUGCGACCGUCUUGAUGAGUGACCAAAUCGCUCCCUAGGAGGUAAUCUUGGUCUUUUCCCUUUAUUGCGAGCUCUCUCACCACCUUGCUUCUCAUACUUCUCCAAAAGCAUAUCGAAGGUCACCUUAGUCUUCUUAGGAGCUUUAGAAGUUGAGACUUCGCUCCUAUUCUCUUUCCACACACCAAAGACUGGAUUCUUUGGCACCAUCAUCUUUGGCCUAGUUCACCAAUGAUCACUCAUUUUCCCUUAGUAGAUUCGGCUUGCUCCGGCCGAAUCAACACCUUCUUAUCAUUGAAAUUAAUUGUAUUCACCAGAAAAGGAUCAUGAUUAAGCUUCAUCUUGGAACCAUCGGUGAACUUCAAUCGUCCUUCAUCUAUGGCCGAUUGAACCUAUCAUCGAAACACAUUGCAAUCAUUAGUAGAAUGAGAGUGAGAAUCAUGCCAUUUACAAUAAGCACGAUGUUGGUAUUUAAUACGGUCACAGAUAAAAUCCGCAAGCGCACGGAUAUACCAAUGUAGCACUUCCCCUACGGAGUAUUCCAAGGGUAUCGAAUCCAAGGGAACGUGUGUGGUCAAAUCUUCCUCCAGUUCAUCCAAGGAUACCAAGCAAAAGAUAGGUUAGGAUAGAGAGGAUUUACUAGUGAGAAGGAGAAACAGUAUCUAGGGAAAGCUUAACUUUAAUCCUAAUGCAAUACUUCAGGCACUGGCAACCCGCUGUUCCCAGAUGUCACUCUACUACGUAUCCAGACAGGGAGGACUUAAGUGAUCUCGAGGGCUGUCACCACCUCUACACCCACCUAAAACGUACUGUGGGAUACACAGCAAUUACGGGAUAACAAUUACCUAAACACCACGUCUAAGCAAUUAAUAUUUACUUCAGUGUUUAUAACUCACCAAAGCAAUCACUAUAUUUUAGUUGAUUAUAGUGAACAAUAAUCACGUAUGCUAUUUAGGAAUUAACCAAGAGAUAAUUCUCACAAGAUAAAUCUAAAUUACUCAAGAAGAAUAUUAUAUUAAAUUCAGAGUAAUAAAUAGAAUAAAAGAAAUAGGAGAAAAUUACCGACAACUCCGGAAUUCUUCUGACUCCUUUUACUCUACUCUCUUCCUAUUCUAGUAUACAAUAUAGUACAAUAGAGCCUCUUAUAAUUUAUCUCAAGCUUGGAAGUGUAUGUUGAAGUGAGUGAGAUGAUGUCCUUAUAUAGGGGUAGGUAUGACGGUUGGCGAAGGGAAAAUGUCCGAAGUGCCCUCCAACCGUCAUCAGGGAUGUAUCUGGGACGUCCACGCCAAACCCCACAUCCAACGGUGGAGGUGGUGGUUCGGCCGAACCUGGCUAGGCCUAUCUAGCCUGGCCUUUAGCCCUUGUUCUCCCCUGGUCCUCCUCUAUUCAUUCUUCGGUAUUUUGGGUUGAUUCACUGAUGUUUUCAUGAAAUUCACAACCCAUCCUUGUAUGGAUACAUAAUUCUCCUCACUUUAGUCUAGAUUUCCUCCAACAUCAGGGCUUAUCUUCUGCAUACAAAUAUACACCAACACUUGUGGAAUAUGUGAGAUUGAGCACCUAUCACUAUGUUAGAUGUUUUAUUAUCCGAACUUUAUGCAGAUGUUGGCGGUACGAAAUCGCAAUUUAACAACUGUCAACACUCGACGCUUCAAUUCUUCUUGAGAUGGUAUGAUAUGGUCUUUAGGUAAUCUAAUUUGUUUUUCUUGCAAAAGAUAAUCAAAGAUCUUAUCACACUUGGCCACAUCAAAACUAUACUUAACCUCACUUUGCGGAUUUUUACGAGGAGUCUGCAUUAAAUUAGAGCAAGCAGAAGGCUUAUUUUUGUUAGUCCAUGACCACUCAGCAACAUACAUAUCAUGAUCACCCUCACCUUCACUAUCACUAGCCUCAGAGUAAUCAAUUGAAUUAACAUUAGGCUUCUUCUCAUAUAGUCAGGUUUCGAUUUUUCUGGUUUUUUGAGUUUUUUUCUGGCACUUCCGUUGUUUGCCGCGUGGCUUGUUUUUUAUGUUGUAAUUUAUUUUUUCUAGUGUGACCGGCUGGUUCCCAGCUUAAUUUUUGUAUCCGGUAUAUGACUUUGAUAGCCGAAGUUUUCAGCGUGGAUUAGUACGUAUACGUGCCUGUCAUAGUACUUUUUCUCUUUCCGUUUGAUUUUGGCAGACGGUUCGUUCUUAUCCUGUUUUCUAGCUGUUCACAUUAGCUAUUUGUGCAUGCUUUGUGCUUGCAAGCGUACUGCGCAUGCUGCCAUGCGGCCACAAACUGUAGUCCACGCGCUAGCUGCUGGCUUUGCUUGUGCCUACAUGUGCUGUGCACGUGCUGCCCCCAUGCCAUUUAUAUUAUAUUGUUUUCACUUGAUAAUUACCAUAUAUACAAUUAAUUUGAUGCUACAUGCCUACAUACGAUAUAAUUAUAAUUAUGGAGGGGAGGGCACCAUAUUGUUCAUAAUGGUUCAUUUAUGCCAACCAUUUCACUUUUUUUCCUUGGUUUCUCAUUUUUUGCAACUAUUUAAGCUUGACCCUCCCAUUGGCUCUUUAUAGUUGCAAAUUACAUCUCCUACACCAAUUUUUUUUCCUGUAUGUUCUUCCGCAUGUGCUAGCUAGCUUAGUAGCUUGAGCUCCAUCGGUUUUGGUUGGUGUUUUUUGUUUCUAGAUUUCCUUUGUGGCUUGCUCUGCUAAUUCUUCAUGGCUGAAACUGAUGGUUACUUUGUCCGUUGCAGGUUGAGCUCCUGCUUCAGCUUGCCUCAUGCCAGCAUGCGCAUGGUGCGGUCUGCUGCUCAUGUGUUCUCUUCUUUCCAACAUUUAUCCUACUCGUUGCUCCUUAAGUACGUCUGGUCUUUUUCCUCUCGCUUUAUUGGCUUUUUUUUUUGCUAUUCAAGCCUAACCCUCUCGUUGUUUUCCCAUAUAUCCUUCACAUCAAUAUAUCUUCUUCCUUAAUUUCUUCAGUGCUAUGUAUUAACUGGCUACUCGAGUUCUUUCCUAUGUUGCCGCCGCCAUAUUUCUUGUUUGGUUGCAUUGGUGUCUUAUGUUUUGUUGUGCUCAACGUGAGAAAUGCGAUGGCAGGGUACGUACUGGGGCAGCGUGAUGCCCGUGACUCAGCACUUAGGCAGUGAAGGGGAUGGAGCGCAGGUGCAGUACGAGGCGACGCUGGCGUACUCGGGUGCAGUCGCGGGGGUGACGAUCGAGGAACUAGCUGGCCGGACAUCGUCAUGGUCUUCGGUCUCCUACGUGCUCGACCUGGGGUUCGUCCACCCACACCACGCUGCCCAUGCUUGCCUUCUAUGGGAGCGGCGAGCGCCAUGCCUACCUUGCCCCCUGCAGAACAUCAUCGCCACAGCCGCACGGCCACACCUACCACCGCACACUCGUGGCCUCUAUAUAUCGCUCACAGCUUCGCUGACAACAUCGAUCUGCAUCUCAUGUAUGAGUGGAUGUGUGCCAUGCUGCCAUAGCACCAAGGAGGUUUCUGCGACCGCAUUUGAGGAUUUAAAUGAAGCACAUUCUAGAAGGCCAGAACAAGGUAAGGUGGGUGAGUUGGGUCACGUCCCAGGAUCGGAGGACCAGGGACGCGAAGCGUGAGUGGCAGGGCGCCGACGUCGAGGUCUCCAACAGUACGGUAUUGCUCCAAUGAGCAGUUGGGACCUUGGGAGCUGGGGUUAUUGCCGCGAGGAUGGUGCUUCUCUUUGUGUUGACUGUUGACAACGACUAGCCAUCGGAUUUGGAUUCUGGAGGUAGUCUUUAGCAUUUUCAAAUUUUCCGAUUGUACCUAAGUAUCUCUAUGUAAUUGGGAGUGUGCCAACGUCAUAUACAGUUGAGCACUAAACCUAACUUUACACUUAUAUACUUUUUGUUCAAUUGUUAUAUGGCAUUGUAUACAAAUGUUUAAUUAGGAUAUAUAUAUAUAUGGCAUUUAGUAGUGAUCUUUGCGAGUUAAACGAGUUUUGCUAUUUGAUUUACACGGUUAAUCCUUCCUGUCUUGAUGUAUGGAGCUGCUGCACAAGAAAUGGCAUACAGAUGUUUCUCUAUCAUUUAUGAUUUGUCUAUUAAUGUACUUAGUAUUUGAUGUCGGAUGAAUUGCGCUUUUCUUUAAUAUCGGGAUAUUACUAUUUUUGUCCACGUGUUCAACUUUGAUAUAUAUCUUCUCGGUAUUAUAUAUUUGUACUUGUGUGUGAUGUUUGUUGAGCAACAAUAUUGGUUUAUUUUUUUUAUGUAUUCCAUAAGAAGGUUUGAUAUAUGGACGUAGAGGUACGGUUCUUCUAGCUAAAAAUGGCACUGGAGACACACACAUUCUGACAUUUAGUCAAGUGCCUUCUCCAACACAAAAAUGUGAAAUUUGUAGUCGUAGCACAGACAAACCUGCUCAAGUCGUUGUGUAUGUGACCAUGUGUGAUUUAACAGCAUAUUCAGUCACUAUAUAAAAAACAAAAUGAUGCACGACAGCUACCGCGCGGCGUAACCGCCGCGCUUACCCGUCUAGUUUUCUUCAGUGCAAGUCAAUUUGGCAUAUCUGAAUUGUUUAUGAGCCAUCACACAUAUACAAAAUUACCGACUAGUGCAAAAUCUGGUGAUGGCUGAUGAGCUGUAGCUCCUCCAUAAAAAAUACCACCUGUAUAUUGCUUACAUAUGGUACGAGUGUACUGAGCAAAAGAGUAUAAAUAUGUAAUAAGAAUUAAUCAACUAUUUUAGUAAGUCUAAAUUUGCAUAAACCUAAAAAAAAUUGUAUAUUAACUAUCAUCUGUAUCAUCAUCACUUUCUGUGUUAUUGUCGUCAUCUGUAUCCAUAUACUCAGUGCCAUCACUUUCAGAAUCUUCUUCAACUUUAUCAGAUUCUUCUUCCUCUUCUUCAUCAUUUUGUUCUUCAGAAUGCGUUAUCGGAUCUGGUUUGACAGUUUCACUCUCAACUCCAUUUCUGUCCAAAACCAUAACAUUAUCAUCAUUGAUUCUACUUUCAUUCAGUGCCACUGUGAUAUCUUCAUUCUCUUGGCAUGCUUCAGAAGUAGACUUUUUAUUUAUUUUUAUUUUUUUUUGGAAUAAGGCGACUGCCCAGCUUUUAUAACAAAGCAUAAGAGUUCAUACAAUGCUGGGAUUACCAGCUUAAGAGCUUAAACAUACAGAAAUUCGACUAAAGGACUAGUGCUGCUGGCAUAGCGGGAACAAGCUAGAGAUGAAAACAACACGAGCUGUAAGUCCAAAAGUAAAGACAGUGCAAAAGAACGAAGAGAUUCUGCUUGGAUCAGGUUGAUGGCAUCAUCUGCUUGAAUCUCCUGUCGCGCGGAUACUGGCAAGCAACAAUCCUUGCACUUUCUCCAUCUCUCCCCUUAACUUCAUGGGCGCCAAACUUUUCCACUGUACAAGAAAUGACAAAGCUUUGUGAGGCUGAGAAACAGCAUUUCUCAGCAGACGGUUAUUGAAAACCCAGUCGUUUCGAACAAGCCAAAUUGCCCAAGCCCCUGCAAUAAAGCAACACCACAAAGUUUUGCUAUCUAACCCCCUCUGAUUUUGAAUUAGGUAUAAAAGAUCAUUUCUAGAAGUGGGGAUCGCCUCCGAACCGAAAGCAUCUAUGUAACAGCACCAAAGGAAUUGGGCUGGGGGGCAUUUGAACAUUAAGUGGUCUGUAUCCUCUUCCUCCCCACAAAGCUUACAGAAGUAGACUUUUUUGUUAACGAUGGAUCAUUUUCUUCUUCUUCUGUAGGAGGAAAGUCGUACAAAUCACAUGGCUUUGUCUUCACCACGACAAGCCAUUUAGGAUCUCGAGUAUCUUUGACAUAAUAUAUCUGCUCAGCUUGUGUGGCCAAAAUAUAUGGAUCAUCAAUUCGCAAGGUGCAAGAUGUAUUUAUCAAGGUAAAUCUGUACUUGUCCUGUUUUACUCCCCUUCAUUGAGCGUGUACAUCCCACCAUUCACAUUUGAGCAUUACAACACAGAAAGUACCAUAUGUGAGCUUGAUAAUAUCUGACAAGACACCGAAAUAAUCUUUGCUUCCACUGGCUUCAUCACCUUUAACAAACACUCCACUAUUUUGUGAUUGAACUAGCAUGUCUCGGUCUUUGGUGUUGAAUGUCCACCCGCUAAUCAUAUAACUUGUGAAAUGGUUUACUCGAGCAUCAGGUCCUCUUGCUAGAGCAAAUAAUUGAUCUGUAACAGAUGGAGAUCCUUUGGAAUACAACUCAAAUAUCUGGGUAAAAUUCAGGGUCAAAAAAUAUUUGGGUAAAAUAAUAUAAUUAUUUUUAAAAUUUAAUGUGGAAGUAAUAUUGUGUGGUAUAUUAGAAUACAUUGGAAGUAAUAUGAUGUGGUAUAUUAGAAUACAUACAUGAUUCUUGAACCAUUGAAAAAACUCUUUGUCGUGGCGCUUAUCCACACCUAUAUUGCUCUGGUUGCUCAGCUGGUCCUUGUGAAUGCGGCAACAUAAUUAAAUAUAUGUUAAAUUUCAGUAAUAUUACCAUCUUAGAAAAAAAAAAGACAUUGAGUUGCAUCGCUUACUUUGCAUAUUCUGAUAUUUCUUCACAGUUGUUAAGUACAUAUAUCCGAGUGUUAACGGUCGUUAUCGAUCAAUUUCGACUGUCAAUAUUACCAAAAUAGAGGAAAACUAGUGAUGCUUGCAUGCAAAAAUAUGUUAGAAUAAUAAUAUUCCACUAGUAGUAGGUAUACUAACAUUUCUGCAGAGAAUGACAAUAAAGUGGAGGAGAACCGACAUCAACUCAGACGAUAAAUCAAUCGGACGAUGUCAAGAACUAGACUUAUGUAUGAAUGGGCCAAGAACUCAGAAUUGACACGAUGAAUUGAGCCAAAUUCACAAGUCCACAAAGUGAAGCAAUAGAGGAGGCCGCCAGCCGAAGAUGGGCCGGGAAGGCCCAGCAUAAGGUUCGGCCGUACCUCUGGCACCGUUGGAUGCAAGGUUCGGCGUGAACGUCCAGGAUUGCAUCCCAAUGACGGUUGGAGGGCACUUCGGACAAUUCCCCUUCCACAACCGUCAUAACCACUUCUAUAUAAGGAACUUCACUCUCUUCACUACAACACACAUCUCAAGCAAUACCUCUCUCAUUUUUCUCAAGUUUAGUUUAGUAGUAUCUAGCUGGUGGAAUAGGAAUAGAGUAGAAAUCAGGAGUACGGAAGCCGUCGGAAGAGUUCAGGUAUGACUCUAGCAGCUUUCCUUUCCUCUUUUGUAAGCUUUGUACUUUUAUUAGAAUACUCUUCUAAAUACAUCUAUGGUAUUGAAAUACUUUCAAAGUAUAUGAGUACCUACUUUACAUUAUGUUCAUGUUAUACUGAAUAUACGGCUAGCUUAUCUGGGAGAUGCUUUGGUGCGGGUAUAAUAUUUGCUUAUGCAAUUACUCUAUGUCAUGACGAUGAUAUUAGAGUAGUAUCUGAUAGUUUAGACAUGGUGUCUAGAUUACGGGAUAUCAUUAUUUGGGGUUAUAUAUUGCGGAUGAGAGGUGGGCCGCUGAUGGUGACAGCUCAGUACGGGUAUUCCUCCGCGUCGGCAUAAUCCUAAGUUAAUUCCCUAGGGAGGGUAUUCCUCCGUAUUUAGCCCCGGUUGUAUGGUCAUGACGGGCUAUCGUAAGGAACUCGGCAGUCAGGGGUGGCUUCUCGAAGUACCAGGAGGGCAUCGGAUAGAGGGUAUUAGCUAGUAUAUCAGUUAACUAGAAUGUGCGUAUACUAUGAAUAUUAGACGUAUAGGAAUAUAUUCUCUUUCUCUUUUCUUUCCACUUAGCUCAGAUAAUAUAUUAUGAGAAUGAGUAGUAAUGCUUGUGUGUCACUCUACCCUUGGAUUAUCUUAACACCUGUUUAGAAUAUGAUUAUCACAAGUAAUAUAUAAAUUAUUAGUUGAGUUCUCUCUACAUGAUCUUCCCACGGGAUAAAAUAAAUACGAUACCCUUGGAAUACUCUCGGGUGAAAUGCUACAAUGGUAUAUAUGUGCGCUUGUGGAUGAACUCGUAACCAUAAUAUACCAGGAAUAUUUCUGUGCCAUUGCUGGGAAUUAUAUUUCUUGUAAUGUCGUUAAGAAAUACCAACAAGCAUUUCUGGCGCCGUUGCCGGGUAUUAUAUUUCUAGUAAUGUCGUUAAGAAAUACCAACAAGCAUUUCUGGCGCCAUUGCCGGGGAAGAUUCAUAAUAGAGAUUACUUGAACUAAUACUUUAUAUUUACCUCUGUAUAAUCAUUUUCCUUUGCAGGCUAACCUUGGUUUUUUUCACUGUUUGCUGUGGAAACAGGGUAGUGCAUGACUGGUUUCAACCUGCCGGAAAACUUCAAAGAAAUCCAGAAGCUUUCUUCCGGAGCGUCAGGUCGCGAGUCGUUGCUCCGCGGAAAACUCUACCGACAGGGAAACCAGCCGUACUAGCGCCACCGCCUUCAAGACUAUUGCCAGCAAGACUCUUCGCGAGUUCGCUGCUCCCUCUGCUGACAAUGUGGCCAUAUGGCCACAGGUCAACAUAGGGGACGUGGAUUUCGACUUGAAGUCCAGCCUCAUCACGAUGGCGUAGGCUAGCCCGUUCUGUGGCAAGCCUAAUGAGGAUGCCAAUGCUCAUCUGCAACAGUUCCUGGAGAUCUGUAGCACGUACACCAUCAAGAGCGUCAGUCCCGACGCCGUCAGGUUGCGACUGUUUCCGUUCUCCCUUCUUGGGAGAGAGAAGCAGUGGUUUUAUGCCAACCGUGCUGUUGUCAACAACUGGGACAAAUGCUCUACGGCAUUCCUCUCGAAAUUCUUCCCGAUGGGCAAAACGAAUGUCCUUCGUGGAAGAAUUUCAAGUUUCCCACAGACAAGGGACGAGUCUAUUCCGGAAGCUUGGGAACGACUGCAGGAGUACGUGGCCACCUGUCCUCAUCAUUUGAUGGACGACUGGUUGAUCCUGAUGAAUUUUUACAAUGGACUCACCCCGAUGUCCCACGAUCACCUGGACGCGGCAGCUGGAGGAGCCUUCUUCUCUAAAAUGGUUCAAGGAGCCGUUGAACUAAUAGAGAAGAUGGUCUCCAAUAUGGGUUGGAGCGAGGAACGACUCCAGAUCCGUCAACGAGGCAUGCACACUGUCAAGGAGACGGAGUUACUUGCUGCCAACCUGGACCACCUCAUGAAACGCUUGGACGACCACGAGAAAAGGCCACAAGGCACCGUCAAGGCUUUGGACUCACACGUUACGUGUGAGGUCUGCGGCGGCACGGGUCAUUCUGGGAAUGACUGCCCAAAAACCCGUGAGAAGGCGAUGUACAUGUGCAACAACAAUGGGUACCGUCCACAAGGAGGUCAGGGGUGGAACCAACCACGCCCAUAUUAUCAAGGAGAUAACAAUAACGUAACUUCUCUAACCAGCCCUCCUUGAAGGAUCUCGUUUUUGCGCAAGCUAAAACCACCGAUGCAUUGAGCAAAAAGCUUGCGGCCAAUGACAAGGUCUUAUAAAACAUUAAUGUCAAAUUAGAUGGCUUUGCUUCUGCCUUUCAAAAUCAGCUGAGCUUUAACAAAAUGAUAGAAACCCAGUUAGCUCAGUUGGCAUCUUUAGUCCCUGCAAAUGAAACUGGGAGGAUCCCGGGGCAACCCGACUCCUCCAUUGAAAAUGUCAAGGCGAUCACGACGAGGGGAGGUAAGUCCACUCGUGAUCCGCCAUAUCCUAACCCUGCAAGAACUAAUGGGAUAUCAAAAGAAGCGCCAUCUAGCGACUCGGCUAUCAAGGAGGUUCAGCCAAAGAAGACCGUGCCGCAGGAGUACUGCGACACACGGUUGCUGCCGUUUCCCCAACGGAUGAGGAAACCGUCAGUGGAUGAGCAAUUCGCUCAUUUUGUUGAAGUAAUCCAAAAGAUCCACAUCAACGUGUCAUUGUUGGACGCCAUGCAAGUGCCAACAUACGCCCGUUAUCUCAAGGAUAUACUCAACAACAAGAGACCGCUCCCAACAACGGUGGUGGUCAAGCUGACAGAGCAAUGCAGCAACCUGAUAUUCCACAAGCUCUCGGAAAAGAAGAAAGAUCUGGGGUGUCCUACGAUCACCUGCUCGAUCGGGGCACAACAAUUCGACCAGGCCUUGUGCGACCUUGGAGCCAGUGUCAGCGUCAUGCCAAAAGACGUCUUCGACAAGCUCAACUUCAUGGUGUUGGCACUGACACCGAUGCGCCUUCAACUGGCUGAUUCAUCAGUCCGUUACCCGGCAGGGAUAGCAGAGGAUGCGCCAGUCAAGAUACGAGAUUUCUUCAUCCCAGCUGAUUUUGUGGUGCUAGGUAUGGACACGGGGAAGGAGACGCCACUCAUCCUGGGGCAUCCAUUCCUUAGCACCGCAGGAGCCAACAUUGACGUGGGAACGGGGAGCAUCCAUUUCCAUAUCAAUGGGAAGGAGGAAAAGUUUGAGUUCCAACCGAGGAUGGAACAAUGUUCCAUGGUCAGAAUAAAGUACGGGCCGAAUCCGCAGAAUAUUCAAGUGGUCGAAGUGGAGCCACCCAAGACGGACAGCCUGGUGAAGUUCAUGCAAAACUUCCUGGAGAAGGAAACAACGAUUCCCAGCAACCGUUAUUGGAGGACGCCGGUAAAAUCACCCGUACCGGCAAAGAAGUUAGAGCAGCUGGCUCAGAAGAAGCCGUCUUCCGCACCAAAACCAAAGAAGGUAUGGAAGGAAAAGCCAAAGAUGCCCGCUCCAUCACCUCCGGAGACGAGUGGAAAAUCUGUGGACUAAAUCAGAAGGAGGUACGGUCUUGCACAUCGGACUUUAAACGACGUGACCUUUGCCAACAGGUAAAUUGGUAUGUAUCCGCAUAUUUGCUUUCAACAAUUUGAAUUUUUGCAUCAUCACAUGUUUGAAUU
rnacentral:lncRNA from 1 species